rnacentral:rRNA from 1 species
AGCAGCCGCGGUAAUUCCAGCUCCAAUAGCGUAUAUUAAAGUUGUUGCAGUUAAAAAGCUCGUAGUUGAAUUUCGGGAUCAGUACGCUGGUCGUGCCUUCGGUAUGCACUGGUGUCACUGAUUCCUCCCUUCUGAAGAACCGUAAUGCCAUUCAGUUGGUGUUGCGGGGAAUCAGGACUGUUACUUUGAAAAAAUUAGAGUGUUUAAAGCAGGCUUGCGCUUGAAUACAUUAGCAUGGAAUAAUGAAAUAGGACGUUUGAUCCUAUUUUGUUGGUUUCUAGGAUUGACGUAAUGAUUAAUAGGGAUAGUUGGGG